GGCAGGAGAUGCUGGUACCGCAAAAAGAGGAAGAGAAAAGAGAAAGAGAAAGGGGAGGAGAAGGGAGGAGAGUGGAGAAAGAAAUGUAGAGGGGGGGUAAUUGGUAGUUGUCUCCAGUUGCAACGUUGCUGCUGGUGGCUGCUCGUCGUCGGCGUUGCUGGCGGUUGCCUCUUCCCUUGCUGCCUAGUUGCUGCUGGUGGUUAGAGUAAAA
rnacentral:misc_RNA from 1 species